rnacentral:rRNA from 1 species
GCCCCCCGGGCCCCGGCCCCGCCGGCCGCGCGCGGCCGGGCGGGGCGGGGGCACGGGGGGCUUGGUCAUUUAGAGGAAGUAAAAGUCGUAACAAGGUCUCCGUUGGUGAACCAGCGGAGGGAUCAUUACUGAGUUACCGCUCUAUAACCCUUUGUGAACAUACCUAACCGUUGCUUCGGCGGGCAGGGGAAGCCUCUCGCGGGCCUCCCCUCCCGGCGCCGGCCCCCACCACGGGGACGGGGCGCCCGCCGGAGGAAACCAAACUCUAUUUACACGACGUCUCUUCUGAGUGGCACAAGCAAAUAAUUAAAACUUUUAACAACGGAUCUCUUGGUUCUGGCAUCGAUGAAGAACGCAGCGAAAUGCGAUAAGUAAUGUGAAUUGCAGAAUUCAGUGAAUCAUCGAAUCUUUGAACGCACAUUGCGCUCGCCAGCAUUCUGGCGAGCAUGCCUGUUCGAGCGUCAUUUCAACCCUCAAGCACCGCUUGGUUUUGGGGCCCCACGGCACACGUGGGCCCUUAAAGGUAGUGGCGGACCCUCCCGGAGCCUCCUUUGCGUAGUAACUAACGUCUCGCACUGGGAUUCGGAGGGACUCUUGCCGUAAAACCCCCCAAUUUUUUUACAGGUUGACCUCGGAUCAGGUAGGAAUCCCCAUUUC